rnacentral:lncRNA from 1 species
GCACUAAAGCACCGGAUCCCAUCAGAACUCCGAAGUUAAGCGUGCUUGGGUGAGAGUAGUACUAGGAUGGGUGACCUCCUGGGAAGUCCUCGUGUUGCAUUCUUUUCUUUUGGUUGCAACUGUGCGUACAACGGACGUAACAUUGUCAUACGGAGUCCGACCGAGACGUUCUUGUACUUAAAACGACCGGAACGGCAUUUUGAUCCGAAAAACACAUAAGUCAGGACCCAUUGGGUUUCGUGCCGAUAUUCCAGGCGCGCGCACACGCGGCGGUUGCCAACCCAAGAAAGGUCGUUCGGGUCCCCGAAAUGCCUUCGGCGCCUUCGAGGGAGCGCCGAUAAGGACAAGCCGCGCGCACAACAUGUCGGAUGCGAUCAUACCAGCACUAAAGCACCGGAUCCCAUCAGAACUUCGAAGUUAAGCGUGCUUGGGCGAGAGUAGUACUAGGAUGCGUGACCUCCUGGGAAGUCCUCGUGUUGCAUCCUUUUUUUUUGGUUGCAACUGUCCUAACUUUAUGAUACGAAGUCCGACCGGGACGUUCUUGUACUUAAAACGACCGGAACGGCAUUUUGAUCCGAAAAACACAUAAGUCAGGACCCACUUGGUUUCGUGCCGAUAUUCCAGGCGCGCGCACACGCGGCGGUUGCCAACCCAAGAAAGGUUGUUCGGAUCCCCGAAAUGCCCUCGGCGCCUUCGAGGGAUUGCCAAUAAGGACAAGCCGCGCGCACAACAUGUCGGAUGCAAUCAUACCAGCACUAAAGCACCGGAUCCCAUCAGAACUCCGAAGUUAAGCGUGCUUGGGCGAGAGUAGUACUAGGAUGGGUCCUCGUGUUGCAUUCUUUUUUUUUGGUUGCAACUGUGCGUACAACGAACGUAACUUUGUCAUACGGAGUCCGACCGGGACGUUCUUGUACUUAAAACGACCGGAACGGCAUUUUGAUCCGAAAAACACAUAAGUCAGGACCCACUGGGUUUCGUGCCGAUAUUCCAGGCGCGUGCACACGCGGCGGUUGCCAACCCAAAAAAGGUCGUUCGGGUCCCCGAAAUGCCCUCGGCGCCUUCGAGGGAGCGCCGAUAAGGACAAGCCGCGCGCACAACAUGUCGGAUGCGAUCAUACCAGCACUAAAGCACCGGAUCCCAUCAGAACUCCGAAGUUAAGCGUGCUUAGGCGAGAGUAGUACUAGGAUGGGUCCUCGUGUUGCAUUCUUUUUUUUUGGUUGCAACUGUGCGUACAACGAACGUAACUUUGUCAUACGGAGUCCGACCGGGACGUUCUUGUACUUAAAACGACCGGAACGGCAUUUUGAUCCGAAAAACACAUAAGUCAGGACCCACUGGGUUUCGUGCCGAUAUUCCAGGCGCGUGCACACGCGGCGGUUGCCAACCCAAAAAAGGUCGUUCGGGUCCCCGAAAUGCCCUCGGCGCCUUCGAGGGAGCGCCGAUAAGGACAAGCCGCGCGCACAACAUGUCGGAUGCGAUCAUACCAGCACUAAAGCAGCGGAUCCCAUCAGAACUCCGAAGUUAAGCGUGCUUGGGCGAGAGUAGUACUAGGAUGGGUGACCUCUUGGGAAGUCCUCGUGUUGCAUUCCUUUUUUUUUUGUUGCAGCUGUUCUAACUUUGUCAUACGGAGUCCGACCGGGACGUUCUUGUACUUAAAACGACCGGAACGGCAUUUUGAUCCGAAAAACACGUAAGUCAGGACCCACUGGGUUUCGUGCCGAUAUUCCAGGCGCGCGCACACGCGGCGGUUGCCAACCCAAAAAAGGUCGUUCGGGUCCCCGAAAUGCCCUCGGCGCCUUCGAGGAGCGCCGAUAAGGACAAGCCGCGCGCACAACAUGUCGGAUGCGAUCAUACCAGCACUAAAGCACCGGAUCCCAUCAGAACUCCGAAGUUAAGCGUGCUUGGGCGAGAGUAGUACUAGGAUUGGUGACCUCCUGGGAAGUCCUCGUGUUGCAUUCCUUUUUUUUUUGUUGCAGCUGUUCUAACUUUGUCAUACGGAGUCCGACCGGGACGUUCUUGUACUUAAAACGACCGGAACGGCAUUUUGAUCCGAAAAACACGUAAGUCAGGACCCACUGGGUUUCGUGCCGAUAUUCCAGGCGCGCGCACACGCGGCGGUUGCCAACCCAAAAAAGGUCGUUCGGGUCCCCGAAAUGCCCUCGGCGCCUUCGAGGAGCGCCGAUAAGGACAAGCCGCGCGCACAACAUGUCGGA